GCCAACUUGGCUCAGUUGGUAGAGCAACGCACUCGUAAUGCGUAGGUCACCGGUUCGAUCCCGGUAGUUGGCUCCA
rnacentral:tRNA from 1 species